rnacentral:misc_RNA from 1 species
UCAAACUUGGUCAUUUAGAGGAAGUAAAAGUCGUAACAAGGUUUCCGUAGGUGAACCUGCGGAAGGAUCAUUAUUGAAUUAUGAAUUUGGUUGGGCUGUUGCUAGCUUUCUCUGAAGCAUGUGCACGCCUGGCUCAAACUUCUUAACCACCUGUGCACCUUUUGUAGAUCCUCUUAGAAUAAACAAUGCUCGAGUUUUCUCGGUCUUGGAGAUAUUGCAUGACUUUUGCCAUGCUUUCUCUGGUAUUCCUUGGGGGUCUAUGUCUUUUUAAUUAACACUGUCAUUGAAUGUUAAUCAUUGGCUUUUGUUGCCAUUAAUUUAUAUACAACUUUCAACAACGGAUCUCUUGGCUCUCGCAUCGAUGAAGAACGCAGC